rnacentral:rRNA from 1 species
AGCAGCCGCGGUAAUUCCAGCUCCAAUAGCGUAUAUUAAAGUUGUUGCAGUUAAAAAGCUCGUAGUUGAACUUCGGGAUUUGCCUAUUGGUCAGGCUUAACUGUCUGCACUGGUGGGACGAAUCCCUACCUUCUGAGGAAUUUCCAUGCCAUUAAUUUGGUGUGGUGGGGAAUCAGGACUGUUACUUUGAAAAAUUAGAGUGUUUAAAGCAGGCUAACGUCUGAAUACAUUAGCAUGGAAUAACGAAAUAGGACGGCUUGGUUCUAUUUUGUUGGUUUCUAGGAUCACCGUAAUGAUUAAUAGGGAUAGUUGGGGGCAUUAGUAUUCAAUUGUCAGAGGUGAAAUUCUUGGAUUUAUUGAAGACUAACUACUGCGAAAGCAUUUGCCAAGGAUGUUUUCAUUAAUCAAGAACGAAAGUUAGGGGAUCGAAGACGAUCAGAUACCGUCGUAGUCUUAACCAUAAACUAUGCCGACUAGGGAUCGGACGAAGUUAAUUUUAAAUGACUCG